GCAGUGAGGGACGUCUGAUCGCAGCAGUAGCUGAGGAAAGUCCGGGCACCACAGGGCAUAGUGCCAGUUAACGACUGGGCGCGUAAGGCGACGGCAAGUGCAACAGAAAGGAAACCGUUAUAGGUAUCAUCUAUAAGUUAUAGAUGAUACCUAUAAUAAGGGUGAAACGGUGUGGUAAGAGCACACCAGUACCGCUGGUAACAGGGGUAGCUAGGUAAACCCCACUUGGUGCAAGGUCCGAACGUCUGGGUUGACCCGACCUUAAGGCAAAGAAGACCGCUCGAGCCUCCUGGCGACAGGAGGCCCAGAUAGAUGAUCAGAACCCGCAAGGGUACAGAACCCGGCUUAUAGCCCUCCUGCAGCG
rnacentral:RNase_P_RNA from 1 species